ensembl:snRNA U6 U6 spliceosomal RNA
AUACUCGCUUCAGUAGCACAGAUACAAAAACUGGAACGGUAUGGAGAAGGUUAGCAUGGCUCCUGCACAAGGAUGAGCUCUUUCUCUUCCCUAGUUAACUGUAUUC